AUUUAAAUAGCUUAAAUUAGAGCGUAAUAUUGAAGAUAUUAAAGUAAUAUAAAUAUUUUUAAAUG
rnacentral:tRNA from 1 species